UAUUGGACAAGGAGGACAGAUACAUUGAUACCACUGUUCGGAUUAGUGAGGGAGCAGCACCUUGGUGCAUCACCUUGGCGCAUCACCUUUGUAUAUGGAGAACCUCGCGUGGAGAAUAGGCAUCUCAUGUGGUCUAAGCUACAACAGCUCAAAUCUGUCAAUGAUAUUCCUUGGUUAGUUAUUGGUGACUUUAAUGAGGCAUUAUGGGACUUUGAACACUUCUCCGCCACACCAAGGGCCGAAGCUCAAAUGAUCGCUUUCAGAGAUGUGUUGGAGACGUGCAGAUUGGUGGAUCUAGGGUUUAAGGGUGUACCAUUCACAUAUGAUAACAAGAGAAGUGGCAUGAACAAUGUUCGG
rnacentral:rRNA from 1 species